rnacentral:rRNA from 1 species
GACAGAGGUCCCGAGCGUUAGGCGGAAUUACUGGGCGUAAAGGGCUCGUAGGCGGCCAACUAAGUCAGACGUGAAAUCCCUCGGCUUAACCGGGGAACGGCGUCUGAUACUGGAUGGCUUGAAUCCGGGAGAGGGAUGCGGAAUUCCAGGUGUAGCGGUGAAAUGCGUAGAUAUCUGGAGGAACACCGGUGGCGAAGGCGGCAUCCUGGACCGGCAUUGACGCUGAGGAGCGAAAGCCAGGGGAGCAAACGGG